UUAGAGGUCCGGUGCUGGCAGCCUCAGUACCAGACAGACCAGCGCUCUCCUUGUACACCUCCAGUUCGAGCACACCUGCUGUGCAUAGUUAAACGUAUCCAAGUGAAGUGAUUGCGACAGUGCCGAAGAAACUACGCUGCAAAUCGAGUGUUCAAGUUGCUACAUGAAGAAUAUAUUAACAUAAGCACCAGUUUCCAUGAUCCACAGGUGGUCGUCCAGGUUGGACUCAAAUUUUGCCAGCAACAGAGGCAGCCGUCUCGCCAACUGUGGUAACUCACUGGAACUCAGCGUCCUCUCUCAGAUCUACAGUGUACCUUGAGAACAACUGGCUAUCCUCCUAAGUGAACAAUCUUCUGUAAUUCUCCUCUUUAAGUAAAGGUUAAUACCUUUCUCGGGAGUGAAAUCCUGAUCUCAAAAGCCAGUUCAUAUAUAUACUGUAUAUAUCCACUUGUGUGUGCGAUAUUCCACUUCUUGACUACCACACUUCGUGACUCAGAGUUUGAUACCCAUCACUCUUGCCACCCACGACUACUAGCCUUUGUUACUACUACCACAACCGUCACCAAGAUGGUUCAGGAACUGCACACCGCCAGCAGCUGCAUCGCUGACCCCGAGGCCAGAAAGAGCACCUACAAGGUCAUGGAGAUGGGCGCCUAUGGUCACAGCAGCGCCACCAAGAGAACGAGUGCGGGCGUCACCAAGACUAAGAGCAACACGGUCCAGAAGGACGUGUGGGGACCCGUGUUCCAGAAUAAACAACACUUUGUUGACAUGCACAUCUGCUAGGACACACUCACUGCCUGUGCGUGACUUGCCAUGCACAGCUUUAGCAACUACAUACCUCCUGCUCCUGGCUAGUCUGGGACAUGCACAUCUGCAAGGACUCACCCACUGCCUGUGCAGGACUUGCCAUGCACAGCUUACCAACUACAUACCUCCUGCUCCUGGCUAGUCUGGGACAUGCACAUCUGCUAGGACACACCCACUGGCUGUGCAUGACUUGCACAGGCACUGCCUGGGCAUGGCUUACUAUGCACAUCUUUAGCAACUACAUACCUCCUGCUCCUGGCUAGUCUGGGACAUGCACAUCUGCAAGGACUCACCCACUGCCUGUGCAUGACUUACCAUGCACAGCUUUAGCAACUACACACCUCUUGCCCCUGGCUAGUUUGGGACAGCAGAUCUGAUAGAACAUGUCCAUCAUUUUUUUUUCAUGUCUUGAUGUGAA